AUUGAACGCUGGCGGCAGGCCUAACACAUGCAAGUCGAACGGUAACAGGAAGACGCUUGCUUCUUUGCUGACGAGUGGCGGACGGGUGAGUAAUGUCUGGGAAACUGCCUGAUGGAGGGGGAUAACUACUGGAAACGGUAGCUAAUACCGCAUAACGUCGCAAGACCAAAGAGGGGGACCUUCGGGCCUCUUGCCAUCGGAUGUGCCCAGAUGGGAUUAGCUAGUAGGUGGGGUAACGGCUCACCUAGGCGACGAUCCCUAGCUGGUCUGAGAGGAUGACCAGCCACACUGGAACUGAGACACGGUCCAGACUCCUACGGGAGGCAGCAGUGGGGAAUAUUGCACAGUGGGCGCAAGCCUGAUGCAGCCAUGCCGCGUGUAUGAAGAAGGCCUUCGGGUUGUAAAGUACUUUCAGCGGGGAGGAAGGGAGUAAAGUUAAUACCUUUACUCAUUGACGUUACCCGCAGAAGAAGCACCGGCUAACUCCGUG
rnacentral:rRNA from 1 species